rnacentral:rRNA from 1 species
ACGGGUGAGUAACGCGUGAGAAUCUGCCCUCAGGAGGGGGACAACAGCUGGAAACGGCUGCUAAUACCCCAUAUGCCGCGAGGUGAAAUGAAUUUCGCCUGAGGAUGAGCUCGCGUCUGAUUAGCUAGUUGGUGUAGGUAAUGGCUCACCAAGGCAUCGAUCAGUAGCUGGUCUGAGAGGAUGAUCAGCCACACUGGGACUGAGACACGGCCCAGACUCCUACGGGAGGCAGCAGUGGGGAAUUUUCCGCAAUGGGCGAAAGCCUGACGGAGCAACGCCGCGUGAGGGAUGAAGGCCUCUGGGCUGUAAACCUCUUUUAUCAAGGAAGAAGAUCUGACGGUACUUGAUGAAUAAGCCACGGCUAAUUCCGUGCCAGCAGCCGCGGUAAUACGGGAGUGGCAAGCGUUAUCCGGAAUUAUUGGGCGUAAA